rnacentral:lncRNA from 1 species
UUUUCUUCACCAUCUAAAUACUAUGCAACAAUAGUACCCAAAUUCUCAAUAGCAAUACUGCACUUGAUCAACUUUAGCUUUUUUACCGCAUUCCAAGAAAAUUAAAGAUUAAAAACUUGUCUUUUUCACUUGUUUCACAGAAACAGAUAAAUGGGUGGAAAAAAUUAUUGACUUGGCAAUAAGAAAGGACAAGAACUGAAGAACAUAUACCCCUAUUUAAUCCGUUAAGAAAGCAGAGGGAAUUCAGAGAGACGGCUCAAAGACCUAGUAAAUUUUGCGCCUUUAUAGCUGUCCAAAAUGAAGACUAAGCUACAAGAUGGAAACCA